CAAAGUCUCACUUUGUAGACUUGAGUAAAUUAGACCAACGUUCAGGAGCAUGAAUCUAUCAGCACUUCACUCAGUGAGCUCAGCUCCCCUGUCAGGCUGUGUUGCUGCUCCAGGUGGGAUAUAGAAUGUGAGCUCAGCUCCCCUGCUCAGCUCCCCUGCCAGGCGGUGUUGCUGCUCCAGGUGGGAUAUAGAAUGUGAGCUCAGCUCCCGUCAGGCUGUGUUGCUGCUCCAGGUGGGAUAUAGAAUGUGAGCUCAGCUCCCGUCAGGCUGUGUUGCUGCUCCAGGUGGGAUAUAGAAUGUGAGCUCAGCUCCCGUCAGGCUGUGUUGCUGCUCCAGGUGGGAUAUAGAAUGUGAGCUCAGCUCCCCUGUCAGGCUGUGUUGCUGCUCCAGGUGGGAUAUAGAAUGUGAGCUCAGCUCCCCUGUCAGGCUGUGUUGCUGCUCCAGGUGGGAUAUAGAAUGUGAGCUCAGCUCCCCUGCUCAGCUCCCCUGCUCAGCUCCCCUGCUCAGCUCCCCUGCGAGGCUGUGUUGCUGCUCCAGGUGGGAUAUAGAAUGUGAGCUCAGCUCCCGUCAGGCUGUGUUGCUGCUCCGGGUGGGAUAUAGAAUGUGAGCUCAGCUCCCCUGCUCAGCUCCCCUGCUCAGCUCCCCUGCUCAGCUCCCCUGCCAGGCUGUGUUGCUGCUCCAGGUGGGAUAUAGAAUGUGAGCUCAGCUCCCGUCAGGCUGUGUUGCUGCUCCGGGUGGGAUAUAGAAUGUGAGCUCAGCUCCCCUGCUCAGCUCCCCUGCCAGGCUGUGUUGCUGCUCCAGGUGGGAUAUAGAAUGUGAGCUCAGCUCCCCUGUCAGGCUGUGUUGCUGCUCCAGGUGGGAUAUGGGAUGUGAGCUCAGCUCCCCUGCUCAGCUCCCCUGUCAGGCUGUGUUGCUGCUCCAGGUG